CUCUCUUUUUCAAUUAAUAGGCGGUGGGCUUCUAGGUUUUUGCACCUUCCCCACAACAGGUGCACCAGGUAAGUUGGUUUUAAGUGGAACCUCCAUCAAAUCAGGCAAGGACAUGGCCUGAGAGAGGUUUGUACUACUUAUUGUAAUGGGGGGAUGAAAAUUGUACGGAUGGGCAAUGCCCCACUGUUAGUACACUGUGGCAAAGCCUAAGAAGGCAAUAUGCUUACCUCAUCAUGGAGCAUUUUAUCAUUAGAUGGUAUAUUUCUUUUUCUAGAACUAUUGGCAGUACUAGGUGGGUUUGAUUUUAAUGCCUUUGCAUAGCUAUUUGAUUUAUUUAAUAAUCUUUGGCAUAUCCCACACUUAUAUGUUCUAAAUUGGAUUAAUUGGAUUUGUUAAGGGCAGCUUCUUCCAACUUAUACAGCUCGCAGCUCCUGUCAGUGGAUUUAUGAUUUGAGUUGCAAUUUAAACACCUGGCCACAAGUGCACAUUCUCCAUGGUAAGACUUGGAGCAAAUACCACACAUUUUUUCAUUUUUGCAAACUUUUGACGGGUGUCCAAAUUUAAAACAAACAAAACAUUGCAGCAGCUUCUGCUUGAAUGGUCGAACUUUAAUAAUUUCAUUUUCAAUAAUAAUAUGGGAAGGUACAUCAGCAUCCUGGAAAGUAAGGAUAAUCAUUGAUGUACCUGGGACUUUGUGUACUUUCCAUACAUUUAAUGGACACAUGGCCAGUAUCUCCUCUGUAAAUUCAUACAGAUCUUUGUUAAAAAAAGACCCCUUCCGUAGCUAAAAUUUAGGUGGGGUUUGACAUCUAACUUAAUAUCAUCAUCACUUGUUUUAAGGUUGGAUAGUAUUACAGAUUGUGUGCAUGAUUUGGCAUGGAUAAGGUAACUAUUUUUCAACGAGAUAUAUCUCCCGGUGUAGUAGUUCCUACUUUUUUCUGAAUUAAUUGGCAUAUUUUGAAAUAGUUCCCUGUAACCCCCUGAGAUUCAGCUACAAGCCACAUUGGUGGUUUUGGCUUCCUCUGGUAAGGCAUAACUAAAUCAUAGUCCACAUUCACCUAGACACAACCAUGUUGAACUUAUCCAUGCUUCAUCUAGAGCUGCCCCGAACUUAAUUGCUUUGCACAGCCAUUUGCCUAUUAAGUCACAACCUUGUCUUCUGCUUUAGCCUACAAAUGUCGCCCAAUUACAGACUCCCAUGCAGCAGCACACAAGUUGAGAGAAAUCUCAUUAAAGAACCACAAAUCUGCGGAUCGAUCUUCUCUGCAAGAAGUCACAAUUAUCUGGUCUUCUUUUACUCAUCCUGAUCAAGGAACGAAGUGUUAUUGCCAAAACCGUGAAGGAUGACAAAGCUCCCAUUAAGAGGUUAACGUUGAGGGAAUUCUCAGGAUCUGGAUCAUUCUCUUACAUCUCAUGGUCCACGAUUUCACUCACAAGGCUGCAACCGUUCUUCAUGUAAUGAGAGCUCUACAUGGUCGUGCAACCAAUCAUGGUGUCAUCUCAUUAUAAUAAGCACAGCUGUGACCAUUCUCCAUGUAACAGGAGCCCUACACAGCCUGGCAACCAACCACGGCCUUCAUCUUCUCAUUGUAUUAUGUGCUGCCAUUCUCAUGAAUGUGACUGAUCAAGACAAGGCACCUUCUUGUUCUGCAGAACUUUAUGCUCCCAAGAAGGUUUUAGGCCCUGUGCGAUCUUAUGCCCCAGUAUAAUUAACAAGGAUAUUUUUGUUGCAUCUGAUUCAGUUGACAGGAUGGAUCAAGAACCCCAUAGCCCGAAAGUAGUAGACCCUCUCCCCCUAGAUGCUGACAAUCAAAAAUUUAUAAAAAGCUAUGCGAAACCCGUAGAACUCGUUCACGGGUACAACGACCUGGCUGAAGAGACUGUGGCUACCACUUCAGAUUUUUCUUCGGUUCUCGAAACCCUGGUUGGGCCAAAGAAAGAAAUGAAGGCAUCUUUGGGUCUGCCAUGCUCUACAUUCUCAACCUGGUGAAUUCUCUGGUCUCUGGAUGGGACAAUUCACUUCGAUCUAAUGAUGAUGAUAUUAGUUGUGCAGUCUGAUGAAUGAUGAUGAAUAGACUGCACAGUAAAGUAUGUAGAGGAGUUACAUCUCCUCUGAGGAUGUCUCUUCACCUUCUUCAGGAGGGAGGUGCUUUGUCAGGGGUUUCAGGAGGCUGCAUCAUAUGGAGGGAACCAGUGGUUACUCAGCAACUGGACCAACGGCUUAAUUAACGUGACUUCCGAACUACGUCGAGAGUGAACCUCUCUCACCAGAAAUAAACAUCUCUAAUUCCUCAGUGGUAUGCCCGAGAAUCGAACUCGCGGCCACCGAGGUGGCAGGCCAAGACGAUACCGACCACGAAAAACGUUCGGAAAGUACUUUACACAAACGCUCAACUGAAGGGUGGAGAAAUGUACUGACGUAUGAGGUUCGGUUGGCAUCCCUGCAACGCCGAACGUUGAACAGACCAAUUUGGAUAUACACGAUAACUUCUAAAUCUUAGAUGUGCCAGUUUCUGUCUAAUAUCAAAAAUAUCAAACUGAAAAACCACAUUUUUACAAAUGUGAAGGAGAAUUUCGAUAUAUCAAAUAAAGAAACUUGGAAUUUUUACAAAUGAAUGGUUUAAUGGGAGUCACAUAGGCCUAGAAUGAGUGGCGACUGGUAACAGGUGUGAACGUAAUCUUCGGUGUUUUGAGGGUUUCACUACUGACUUAUAUUUUGAUGUUGUUCCUUAAUUACAUUAGAAAGCCUUAAUUUGUUAGAUUUUUCUUGUAUAUAAAACUUUUACAUUUUACAUUUCAAUUCGACUUCUUAGUCACUAUCAAUAUUAUCUACCAGCUA